rnacentral:misc_RNA from 1 species
GAUGAAGAACGUAGCGAAAUGCGAUAAGUAAUGUGAAUUGCAGAAUUCAGUGAAUCAUCGAAUCUUUGAACGCACCUUGCACCCUUUGGCAUUCCGAAGGGUAUGCUCGUUUGAGUGUCAUUGUACUCUCACACUCUCCGAUCCUAUGGAUUCGGGGAGCGGUGGACUUGGGUGUUGCUGCCUUUCCUUGUGGCUCACCUCAAAUGUGUCAGUGCACCUCUUGGUUGGACAUAGUACGGCGUGAUAAGUGUCUUCGCCGGCACCUCGCAAGAGGGUGGCCGAUCGGGAGCUCUGUGCUUUCAAACAGUCUUCGGACAAUUUCUGACAACUUGACCUCAAAUCGAGUAGGACUACCCGCUGAACUUAAGCAUAUCAAUAAGCGGAGGA